UACCAGCACCCCGAGUGGUCGGGACGAUUAUUGGGCCUAAAGCAUCCGUAGCCGGUUCUACAAGUCUUCUGUUAAAUCCACCUGCUUAACAGAUGGGCUGCGGAGGAUACUAUAGAGCUAGGAGGCGGGAGAGGCAAGCGGUACUUAGUGGGUAGGGGUAAAAUCCGUUGAUCCAUUGAAGACCACCAGUGGCGAAGGCGGCUUGCCAGAACGCACUCGACGGUGAGGGAUGAAAGCUGGGGGAGCAAACCGG
rnacentral:rRNA from 1 species